rnacentral:rRNA from 1 species
GUUUCCGUAGGUGAACCUGCGGAAGGAUCAUUAACGGAUUGUUUGUUUUGAUUUUCAAUUUAUCAUUGUUUAUCAUACACGAGCAUCAAUAUCCGAACCUUUCAAAAAAAUCGAACGAUAGUUGCCCGUUAUCAAAAAUGGGUUGACUGGCGAGCGAUCGAUUAUGAAUCGAGUGUUGUGGAUGCAUCGAAAGCUUAAUGUUGCAAUUGUGCAUACCGUGUUGAAGCAGGUUAAAUGAACGUUUAUAUGAUCUGGGAAUACUUUGGGCAACCAAAUACGAAGUAUCCAAUAUUUUAAAGGAUCCAAACGUUGCUGCUCGGCCAAUCAUGCAAAUGUGUAAUAUUGAUUUGUUUAUUCAAGUCGGCUGGCAUUUCACUUACCUUGAUUAAUAAUUGUGUCGCUUGUUGGCAACUCUGCUCAUAUCUUGUUCUGGUGUCUAGUCCGCUAUUCCUAACAAAUUAAAAACUUGUAUGGAUGCGGUGUGUCAGUCUAUUGUUGACUGUUGCUAGGCUUAAAUAUCGUUAGCUUAACUGUUGACGAAGCCGCAAGUAUGGGGAAACCUUUUCUUUACUUAAACCAAACUUUAAGCUAAUACCAUUAACAUUUAUGGAAUUGUAUUACCUAUUGGAUGCACAUUCGUGUGCUGAUAAUAGAGAUACAAAAGAGAUAAAUACUACUGCCAGUGGUGGAUCACUCGGCUCGCUGGUCGAGGAAGAACGCAGCUAGCUGCGUUAACCGGUGUGAAAUGCAGGACACGCCGAGCACUCGACAUUCGAACGCACAUUGCAGUCAUGGGCCAUCCUAUGACUUCGUUUGUCUGAGCGUCGUUAAUUAAUAAUCAAACAUCAAAAGACCUGUUUGUCGUAUUCCUCGAUUACUUGAGAAUUCGUCAGGUUCAAUUGAUACACUGAUUGUCAAUAUUAUGUACGCCCAAAAAUGCGUAUUGAAGCUGUUUCGCAUAUUGCAACAAUUAAUUUUGUUCAAUGUUGUGAUCGGGUUCUGUGCACGCGUUUAAUUACGCAGGGCUUUUGGCACAUCAUGUCAAUUGCUUGAAAUUGCACUAGAAUAUUCCAAACUGAUCAUACAACUGAUGACAAUAUGUGCUUCUGAUACGAUACUUUGGUGAAACAUAGCUAAAACAAUCCAAGUGUGUAUGGGCUAAUUUUUUAGCGCAUAUGUUUUUUUUGUAAACUUUCGACCUCAGAUCAAGCGAGAUUA